rnacentral:rRNA from 1 species
GUGGGGAAUAUUGGACAAUGGGGGGAACCCUGAUCCAGCCAUGCCGCGUGUGUGAAGAAGGCCUUUUGGUUGUAAAGCACUUUAAGCGAGGAGGAGGCUACCGAGAUUAAUACUCUUGGAUAGUGGACGUUACUCGCAGAAUAAGCACCGGCUAACUCUGUGCCAGCAGCCGCGGUAAUACAGAGGGUGCAAGCGUUAAUCGGAUUUACUGGGCGUAAAGCGCGCGUAGGUGGCCAAUUAAGUCAAAUGUGAAAUCCCCGAGCUUAACUUGGGAAUUGCGUUCGAUACUGGUUGGCUAGAGUAUGGGAGAGGAUGGUAGAAUUCCAGGUGUAGCGGUGAAAUGCGUAGAGAUCUGGAGGAAUACCGAUGGCGAAGGCAGCCAUCUGGCCUAAUACUGACACUGAGGUGCGAAAGCAUGGGGAGCAAACAGGAUUAGAAACCCGGGUAGUCC